rnacentral:rRNA from 1 species
AAAUGAAUUGACGGGGGCCCGCACAAGCGGAGGAACAUGUGGUUUAAUUCGAUGAUACGCGAGGAACCUUACCCGGGCUCGAACGGCUAUAGAAUAAUUCAGAGAUGGAUUAGUCAGCAAUGACUGUAGUCGAGGUGCUGCAUGGUUGUCGUCAGCUCGUGCCGUGAGGUGUCGGCUUAAGUGCCAUAACGAGCGCAACCCUUGUUGUUAGUUGCCAUCGGGUAAAGCCGGGGACUCUAACGAGACUGCCAGCGUAAGCUGUGAGGAAGGGGGGGAUGACGUCAAAUCAGCACGGCCCUUACGUCCGGGGCGACACACGUGUUACAAUGGGGGGUACAGAGGGCCGCUACCCGGCGACGGGAUGCCAAUCUCAAAAACCUCUCUCAGUUCGGAUCGGAGUCUGCAACUCGACUCCGUGAAGUUGGAUUCGCUAGUAAUCGCGCAUCAGCCAUGGCGCGGUGAAUACGUUCCCGGGCCUUGUACACACCGCCCGU